CCUGGUGCCUAUGGCGGUGUGGACCCACGCUCAUCCAUCCCGAACUGAGUGGUGAAACGCACCCGCGGCGAAGAUAGUUGGAGGGCUGCCUCCCGCAAAAAUAGCUCGGUGCCAGGU
rnacentral:rRNA from 1 species